AAGCAUGCAGUCGAACGAGGUGUGUGGAAGGUAACGGAAGCACACUUAGUGGCGAACGGGUGAGGAAUAGAUAGGUAACGUACCCUGGACUCAGGAAUAGCGGCGGAACUUCGGUUCCUUUGCGAAAGUGCCGGUAAUACCUGAUGAUACCCCCGAUACUCAUGUGUUGGGGGUCAAAGGUCCGCCGGUCCGGGAGCGGCCUAUCUCCUAUCAGCUUGUUGGUGGGGUAAUGGCCUACCAAGGCUUCGACAGGUACCAGGCGUGAGAGCGUGACCUGGCACAUCGGGACUGAGACACUGCCCGGACAUCUACGGAUGGCUGCAGCAACGAAUAUUCCGCAAUGGGCGCAAGCCUGACGGAGCGACGCCGCGUGUAGGAUGAAGCACCUCGGUGUGUAAACUACUGUCAGGGGUUAGGAAGAAAGUGACCAACCCCACAGGAAGCCUCGGCUAACUCCGUGCCAGCAGCCGCGGUAAUACGGAGGAGGCAAGCGUUGUUCGGAAUCACUGGGCUUAAAGAGUGCGUAGGCGGGAAAGCAGGUGUCGUGUGAAAGCCCUCGGCUCAACCGAGGAACUGCUCGGCAAACCGCUUUUCUUGAGGCUAGCAGAGGAACCCGGAACCUUGGGUGGAGCGGUGAAAUGCGUAG
rnacentral:rRNA from 1 species